rnacentral:rRNA from 1 species
GACGAACCGUCCUAACGUUGUUCGGAAUCACUGGGCUUAAAGGGCGCGUAGGCGGCUUGCCAAGUCAGGGGUGAAAUCCUGCAGCUUAACUGUAGAAGGGCCUUUGAUACUGGCAAGCUCGAGGGAGGUAGGGGUAUGUGGAACUUCCGGUGGAGCGGUGAAAUGCGUUGAUAUCGGAAGGAACGCCGGUGGCGAAAGCGACGUACUGGACCUCUUCUGACGCUGAGGAGCGAAAGCGUGGGGAGCGAACAGG